rnacentral:rRNA from 1 species
GACGAACGCUGGCGGCGUGCCUAAUACAUGCAAGUAGAACGCUGAAGGAGGAGCUUGCUUCUCUGGAUGAGUUGCGAACGGGUGAGUAACGCGUAGGUAACCCGCCUGGUAGCGGGGGAUAACUAUUGGAAACGGUAGCUAAUACCGCAUAAUAGUAGAUGUUGCAUGACAUUUGCUUAAAAGGUGCAAUUGCAUCACUACCAGAUGGACCUGCGUUGUAUUAGCUAGUUGGUGGGGUAACGGCUCACCAAGGCGACGAUACAUAGCCGACCUGAGAGGGUGAUCGGCCACACUGGGACUGAGACACGGCCCAGACUCCUACGGGAGGCAGCAGUAGGGAAUCUUCGGCAAUGGACGGAAGUCUGACCGAGCAACGCCGCGUGAGUGAAGAAGGUUUUCGGAUCGUAAAGCUCUGUUGUAAGAGAAGAACGAGUGUGAGGGUGGAAAGUUCACACUGUGACGGUAUCUUACCAGAAAGCGACGGCUAACUACGUG